CUGUGAAUGAAGAAAAGGAAGUUUCUUGUAGUUUCGUACAGCGUUGAUAUAUCGUAGAACAACUUGCAUCAGUGAAACCUGUUAACAAGUUACAGACUCUGGUUUUGCUCCUCCGUUUGAAGGUUAUUGGCACCACUGCUUGUCUGGAAGAACAAGCUAUUUAGCACUCAGGAAAAUUG